AGGACAUGGACUUUUGAGCUGGAGGAGAAGAACCGGAGGGAGAAGUGGCUGUGGCAGAGAUGCUCUGUGCCGACCAGAGAGGGAGCUUCUUGAAGGAAUCAGCUGGUGGCAGUGAUCAGCCAGUGACAGGACCGAGUGCUGUAAUUGGCUCCAAGUGUGCAGUCUUCUCCAUCCAGAGAUCAAAGGCACUCCUGUCCCCUCUCUGGAUUGAGAAGACCUGGGAAACCUCUUUGGAUCAGAGGUAGGACUGAGAAAUUCCUUGGCAUCAGAGGUGUCUGUAGACGGCACAUGCUGU